UACGUAGGGUCCGAGCGUCGUCCGGAAUUACUGGGCGUAAAGAGCUCGUAGGUGGUUUGUCGCGUUGUUCGUGAAAACUCACAGCUCAACUGUGGGCGUGCGGGCGAUACGGGCAGACUGGAGUACUGCAGGGGAGACUGGAAUUCCUGGUGUAGCGGUGGAAUGCGCAGAUAUCAGGAGGAACACCGGUGGCGAAGGCGGGUCUCUGGGCAGUAACUGACGCUGAGGAGCGAAAGCGUGGGGAGCGAACAGG
rnacentral:rRNA from 1 species